UUGGAGAAGGACAAAGCCAAAAUGGCAGAAGCCUUUUUGGAGCUGGAUGACAAUGCAGAUGGCUUUGUGUCUGUUUCUGAGCUUCAGUCUCAUGCUGAAUUGGACCUAGAUGCUGAUGGCACACUUACUGAAACUGAGGUCCAGGGACUGAUGGGAGGAGCUGCGCAGGUGGACACGUCAACAUUUGAGAGUGUUUGGACCAACAUUAAAGACAAGUACCACUCAGAGG